rnacentral:rRNA from 1 species
UACGAAGGGGGCUAGCGUUGCUCGGAAUCACUGGGCGUAAAGGGUGCGUAGGCGGGUCUUUAAGUCAAGGGUGAAAUCCUGGAGCUCAACUCCAGAACUGCCUUUGAUACUGAGGAUCUUGAGUUCGGGAGAGGUGAGUGGAACUGCGAGUGUAGAGGUGAAAUUCGUAGAUAUCGCUUGGAACGCCAAUGGUGAAAACAGCAGGCUGGGGGUGUGCUGACGCUGAGACGCGAAAGCCAGGGGAGCAAACGGG